UUAAUUGAAACCAAAAAGAGGUUUAUCACUGUUAAUGAUAAUAAUGAGUUAAACUCCAAUUAAG
rnacentral:tRNA from 1 species